UACGUAGGGUGCGAGCGUUAAUCGGAAUUACUGGGCGUAAACCGUGCGCAGGCGGUUUUGUAAGCCAGAUGUGAAAGCCCCGGGCUUAACCUGGGAAUGGCAUUUGGGACUGCAAGGCUUGAGUGCGGCAGAGGAGACUGGAAUUCCUGGUGUAGCAGUGAAAUGCGUAGAUAUCAGGAGGAAUACCGAUGGCGAAGGCAGGUCUCUGGGCUGACACUGACGCUCAUGCACGAAAGCGUGGGGAGCAAACAGG
rnacentral:rRNA from 1 species